GAUGACGAGUGGCGGACGGGUGAGUAAUGCUUGGGAACUUGCCUUUGCGAGGGGGAUAACAGUUGGAAACGACUGCUAAUACCGCAUAAUGUCUUCGGACCAAACGGGGCUUCGGCUCCGGCGCAAAGAGAGGCCCAAGUGAGAUUAGCUAGUUGGUAAGGUAACGGCUUACCAAGGCGACGAUCUCUAGCUGUUCUGAGAGGAAGAUCAGCCACACUGGGACUGAGACACGGCCCAGACUCCUACGGGAGGCAGCAGUGGGGAAUAUUGCACAAUGAGGGAAACCUUGAUGCAGCCAUGCCGCGUGUGUGAAGAAGGCCCGAGGGUUGUAAAGCACUUUCAAUUGUGAGGAAGAUUAAGUAGCUAAUACCUGCUUAGUUUGACGUUAACUUUAGAAGAAGCACCGGCUAACUCUGUGCCAGCAGCCGCGGUAAUACAGAGGGUGCAAGCGUUAUUCGGAAUUACUGGGCGUAAAGCGCGCGUAGGCGGACUGUUAAGUCGGUUGUGAAAGCCCUGGGCUCAACCUAGGAACUGCAUCCGAUACUGGCAAUCUAGAGUUUAAGAGAGGGAAGUGGAAUUCCAGGUGUAGCAGUGAAAUGCGUAGAUAUCUGGAGGAACAUCAGUGGCGAAGGCGACUUCCUGGCUUAAAACUGACGCUGAGGUGCGAAAGCUUGGGUAGC
rnacentral:rRNA from 1 species